rnacentral:rRNA from 1 species
UACAGAGGGUGCAAACGUUGCUCGGAAUCAUUGGGCGUAAAGCGCGCGUAGGUGGCCAUUUAAGUCCGCUGUGAAAGUCAGAGGCUCAACCUUUGAAAGCCGGUGGAUACUGGAUGGCUAGAGUACGGAAGAGGCGAGUGGAAUUCCUGGUGUAGCGGUGGAAUGCGCAGAUAUCAGGAGGAACACCAAUAGCGAAGGCAGCUCGCUGGGACGUUACUGACACUAAGGCGCGAAAGCGUGGGGAGCGAACAGG